GAGAUGAGUUUGUUGAUAUAUAAUGUCAGUGGCUGCCCAAGGUACGGGCGAACCGAGCGGUCGUCCGGGGCGCCUACAGAAUAAGGAUUUGAUGUGUUGCAUACAAAACAGCAAAUACUUACUCCUUGCACAGAAAAUAUGUCCAGGAAAGAACAGAAAAGAUAAAUGUCAUGGAUUCAAGCAGUACCUAUAAGACUUAAUAUAAUUAAAAAGAAUCAAUCAAUAAAUAAAAUCUGCUUAUUAAAAUAGUAAAUUCUUCAUUUAUGUGCUUGUAAUUUAAUUAUUAAUGGUUCAUUAAAAAAAAAAAAACUGUUA